UACGUAGGGUGCAAGCGUUAAUCGGAAUUACUGGGCGUAAAGCGUGCGCAGGCGGUUAUGUAAGACAGUUGUGAAAUCCCCGGGCUCAACCUGGGAACUGCAUCUGUGACUGCAUAGCUAGAGUACGGUAGAGGGGGAUGGAAUUCCGCGUGUAGCAGUGAAAUGCGUAGAUAUGCGGAGGAACACCGAUGGCGAAGGCAAUCCCCUGGACCUGUACUGACGCUCAUGCACGAAAGCUAGGGGAGCAAACAGG
rnacentral:rRNA from 1 species